CCAGAUGGCCGGACGGCCGCCCUUCGUUUCGGCGAGGGGAGGAAAGUCCGGGCUCCACGGAAGCACGGUGCCGGAUAACGUCCGGCGGGGGCGACCCCAGGGAAAGUGCAACAGAGAGCAGACCGCCCGCCGGCCCGCCGCAAGGCAGGACGCCGCAAGGCACCGGCAGGCAAGGGUGAAAGGGUGCGGUAAGAGCGCACCGCGGCCCCGGCAACGGGGACGGCACGGUAAACCCCACCGGGAGCAAGACCAAAUAGGGGCGGCUGUUCCUCGCGUUCGCGCGGGGACGAAACGCGCUUCCGCGUCGCCGCCCGGGUCGGUCGCGCGAGGCGCCCGGUAACGGGCGUCCCAGAUGAAUGGUCGUCACCAUGGGAAACCAUGGGACAGAACCCGGCUUACAGGCCAUCUGGCGCA
rnacentral:RNase_P_RNA from 1 species